UACUGAGACACGGACCAGACUCCUACGGGAGGCAGCAGUGAGGAAUAUUGGACAAUGGGCGCAAGCCUGAUCCAGCCAUGCCGCGUGCAGGAUGAAGCAUCUAUGGUGUGUAAACUGCUUUUGUACGAGAAGAAACACCCCUACGUGUAGGGGCUUGACGGUAUCGUAAGAAUAAGGAUCGGCUAACUCCGUGCCAGCAGCCGCGGUAAUACGGAGGAUCCAAGCGUUAUCCGGAAUUAUUGGGUUUAAAGGGUCCGUAGGCGGCCUUAUAAGUCAGUGGUGAAAUCUCCCGGCUCAACCGGGAAAUGGCCAUUGAUACUGUAGGGCUUGAAUUAUUAGGAAGUAACUAGAAUAUGCAGUGUAGCGGUGAAAUGCUUAGAGAUUACAUGGAAUACCAAUUGCGAAGGCAGGUUACUACUAAUGGAUUGACGCUGAUGGACGAAAGCGUGGGUAGCGAACAGGAUUAGAUACCCUGGUAGUCCACGCCGUAAACGAUGGAUACUAGCUG
rnacentral:rRNA from 1 species